rnacentral:lncRNA from 1 species
UUGAAGUCUAGCCACAGCACUUUCUCCCCUUCACCGUGAAAAUCUAUCGGUUUUACCUUCAUGCCGAUCAUCUCCCUCGAGUCAGCGGAUGCCAUCAUGUACCAUUGAUGGAAUGCAUACAUCUUUGUUGAUAGCUUCCGUACCAAUGAAGGCUUUACUAGAGGUUUGCCUAGCUCAUAAGGCCAUCUCGGCUCAGGGGGCGGUGCAGUUGGCGUCUCAACUUGCC